UACAGAGGUCCCAAGCGUUGUUCGGAUUUACUGGGCGUAAAGGGUGCGUAGGUGGUUGGGUAAGUCUGAUGUGAAAUCUCCGGGCUCAACCCGGAAAUGGCAUUGGAAACUACCUGACUAGAGGGUUGGAGGGGGGGACUGGAAUACUUGGUGUAGCAGUGAAAUGCGCAGAUAUCGGGAGGAACACCGGUGGCGAAGGCGGUUCUCUGGGCCUCACCUGACGCUGAGGAGCGAAAGCGUGGGGAGCGAACAGG
rnacentral:rRNA from 1 species